rnacentral:ncRNA from 2 species
GGGGAAGUCCGGUGAGACUCCGGCGCUGACCCGCAACGGUAUGCACGCCCCCCUGUCCGGCUUUCCGGCCGCGAUUUCGGGCGUGCGAGCCCGAUUACCC